UACGGGGGGGGCAAGCGUUGUUCGGAAUUACUGGGCGUAAAGGGCUUGUAGGUGGCCAACUAAGUCAGACGUGAAAUCCCUCAGCUUAACUGGGGAACUGCGUCUGAUACUGGAUGGCUUGAGUUUGGGAGAGGGAUGCGGAAUUCCAGGUGUAGCGGUGAAAUGCGUAGAUAUCGGGAGGAACACCAAUUGCGAAGGCAGCUCGCUGGGACGUUACUGACGCUGAGACGCGAAAGCGUGGGGAGCAAACAGGG
rnacentral:rRNA from 1 species